rnacentral:rRNA from 1 species
CGCCCCGCCCGCCGCGCCGGGCGGGGAGGGCGGGGGCACGGGGGGAACGCGAAGAACCUUACCUGGUCUUGACAUCCACAGAACUUGCCAGAGAUGGCUUGGUGCCUUCGGGAACUGUGAGACAGGUGCUGCAUGGCUGUCGUCAGCUCGUGUUGUGAAAUGUUGGGUUAAGUCCCGCAACGAGCGCAACCCUUAUCCUUUGUUGCCAGCGGUUAGGCCGGGAACUCAAAGGAGACUGCCAGUGAUAAACUGGAGGAAGGUGGGGAUGACGUCAAGUCAUCAUGGCCCUUACGACCAGGGCUACACACGUGCUACAAUGGCAUAUACAAAGAGAAGCGACCUCGCGAGAGCAAGCGGACCUCAUAAAGUAUGUCGUAGUCCGGAUUGGAGUCUGCAACUCGACUCCAUGAAGUCGGAAUCGCUAGUAAUCGUAGAUCAGAAUGCUACGGUGAAUACGUUCCCGGGUCUGGUACACACCGA